rnacentral:rRNA from 1 species
AUACGGAGGAUCCGAGCGUUAUCCGGAUUUAUUGGGUUUAAAGGGUGCGCAGGCGGCCAUUUAAGUCAGCGGUUAAAUCGUGGGGCUCAACCCCAUUCUGCCGUUGAUACUGGGUGGCUUGAUUGCGGUCGAGGUUGGCGGAAUUCGUUGUGUAGCGGUGAAAUGCAUAGAUAUGACGAAGAACACCGAUUGCGUAGGCGGCUGACCAGAUCGCAAAUGACGCUCAUGCACGAAAGUGCGGGGAUCGAACAGGAUUAGAUACCCUGGUAGUCCGCACAGUAAACGAUGAAUACUUGUUUUCGGCGAUAUAAUGUCGGAGGCAAAGCGAAAGCGAUAAGUAUUCCACCUGGGGAGUACGCCGGCAACGGUGAAACUCAAAUGAAUUGACGGGG